rnacentral:rRNA from 1 species
UACGGGGGGAGCAAGCGUUGUUCGGAUUUACUGGGCGUAAAGGGCGCGUAGGCGGUCCUGUAAGUCCUGUGUGAAAUCCCCCGGCUCAACUGGGGAACUGCACAGGAAACUGCGGGGCUCGAGUUCGGGAGAGGGAAGCGGAAUUCCGGGUGUAGCGGUGAAAUGCGUAGAUAUCCGGAGGAACACCGGUGGCGAAGGCGGCUUCCUGGACCGACACUGACGCUGAGGCGCGAAAGCUAGGGGAGCAAACGGG